UUUUUCACACCAUGCUCUCCACUCCGCGGCUUCUCCCCGCACCGCGCGCCGGCGAUGCCAUACCCGCGCCCGCUCCCUCCGCCGCUGCACUCCGCACCCGCGCCGCACGCCGUCCUCCCAACGCCGUGCGCCAGCGCUGUCCUCCCCGCGCCCUCUCCGCCGCUGCCCUUCCAGCACCACCCCGCUGGCUCUCCCUCGCCGCCUCGCGCCGUUGCCGGAUCCUGUCAGGGCACCGUCGAUACAUCAUCGUCUGGUCUCCGUCGAGCCGCUUCGCCCUUGUGUCUGCACCGCACCUCACCGUCGAUCCCACGCAGUCCGGCCACCGUCGAUCCCUCGCCGUCCGGUCUCCGUCGACCCGCAUCAGCCUAGCACCGGCACCGGAUCUCCUGCUGUCCGGUCGCCGUCGAUCCCUCGAUGUCUGGUGUCCACUGCGCCGCCAACGCGACUCCUUGCUUCCCCCUUCGCAAACUCAUCUUGAUCACAUCUCCCUCGCUGCUCCUGUCUAAGACAAAGGUGAAUUUAUGUUGAGUUCCAGCCGGACAAUUGUUUGGCCUGCAGUAUGAAGCUUGUGGAGCAGUAAGUCUGCCAGCGGUAGGAGCAGGGUCUCAUUGAGUUGCUCCCGGCCAGGACUGCGAGGCUGUUGAUUCAUUGUUCGUGUCAUGCUGAGAUAAAGGCUUCUAUCUAAUUUUGGUACAUUCUCACAUAUUAUACCAUGGAAUCAAAAUAUACCAAGUUCCAGAGCAACAUGCAACUCCCAGUAAAAGUAAAACCAAAAGGUAUUUAGGUCAAUCGUCUCCUCGCCUCAGCCUACCACCCUAUUUUGAGCUUAAAGAUUGAAUUUCAAUCCAUGUGACAUUGGCUUCAAGGUAAACAUGAUUUUAUUUUUAAGAUUGCAUUUUAGUUUGCAAUAGGCAUACAUAUUCUAACUAUAUUUUUUACUUUUAGUUCAUGCAUGCUUCUUACAGCUCAAUUUAUGUAUAAUCCAUAUUUUUUAGGUUUCUGCAAACACAUGAUUAUAUUAUCGUUAUAAUUAAACUUUGGAUGUGAUUAUAUACUUUUUCACGGCAUGUAUCUCAAUUAAUUUUGAUAGGAGCAAUGCUGAUUGGAAAUAUAUUUCUAUCGGGGCGAUACUGAUGAGAUACAUUUUCUUAGAGCAAUUUGGAAAUGAUUUGAUCAUAAUAAUGCUGAUUGCAAAGGUGUACGAAGUCUAAUUUAUUCAUAACAUGCUCAGUAUCUUAUCACACUGCAAUUCAACAGUUGCAUUUUGUAUUUUGCUUAACGAAGAAUAAAUAAUCUUUAUGAUACAGGUUCCACUUAACUUUAUUGCAACCCUUUUGCUUUUGGCUGGAUAGAUGUUGACCUGUUAGCGGCAGCAGAUAUUUGUUCAAUCUGAUCUCUGAUUAUUUUUUUUCUAGAGCUGUGCCCAAGAAAUAUGAACAGACCAUAUAACAGUUACAUAGCAGCUAUAUGUGACUCGGUUUUUUUGCUCCAGUGAUAAUGGAUUAAUGACAACAACUUCUGCUGUCAACUUUGUGUUUUUGCCUGACCAUAUUGUGAUGUUUGCAUUGAUUUGCAUGUUCAAUCUGUGAAGCUUAUCUGGGAUAAACAAAGUGGACAACUUCAGGGUUAUGACUUUGUUGAGUUUACAAGCGUUGCAGGCAGCUGCUGAUGAAGUUCUUCAUCAGACAUAUAGUGGACACUGCACAAAUGAUGCUGAAUGUUGAGAUGGUCUUUCAAUUGAAUUGGGCCAUUUUAGUUGGGAUCUGGCUGCAGAUAUUGCAGACUACAUACUACAAGAGGCAUUCAGGGUCCAUUACCUUUCAGUUAAGGGUGUGUUAAUAGGUUUAUGGAAUUGUGAAAUUUGUUGGUGAUCUUGUAGCAGAAGUUCGUGCAAUAACUGAAAUGAAUACAAUGUAUUGGCCCAGCAGCAAAUAAGAGAACAACUGGGUUCAGGAGAGAGGUAAA